rnacentral:rRNA from 1 species
AGGACGAACGCUGGCGGCGUGCUUAACACAUGCAAGUCGAACGGAAAGGCCCUGCUUUUGUGGGAUGCUCGAGUGGCGAACGGGUGAGUAACACGUGAGUAACCUGCCCUUGACUUUGGGAUAACUUCAGGAAACUGGGGCUAAUACCGGAUAGGAGCUCCUGCUGCAUGGUGGGGGUUGGAAAGUUUCGGCGGUUGGGGAUGGACUCGCGGCUUAUCAGCUUGUUGGUGGGUAGUGGCUUACCAAGGCUUUGACGGGUA